AUUGAACGCUGGCGGCAUGCCUUACACAUGCAAGUCGAACGGCAGCACGGACUUCGGUCUGGUGGCGAGUGGCGAACGGGUGAGUAAUAUAUCGGAACAUACCUUGUAGUGGGGGAUAACUAUCCGAAAGGAUAGCUAAUACCGCAUACGAUCUAAGGAUGAAAGCGGGGGAUCUUCGGACCUCGUGCUAUAAGAGUGGCCGAUAUCUGAUUAGCUAGAUGGUGAGGUAAAGGCUCACCAAGGCGACGAUCAGUAGCUGGUCUGAGAGGACGACCAGCCACACUGGAACUGAGACACGGUCCAGACUCCUACGGGAGGCAGCAGUGGGGAAUUUUGGACAAUGGGGGCAACCCUGAUCCAGCAAUGCCGCGUGAGUGAAGAAGGCCUUCGGGUUGUAAAGCUCUUUUGUCAGGGAAGAAACGGUUGUGGCUAAUAUCCAUGGCUAAUGACGGUACCUGAAGAAUAAGCACCGGCUAACUACGUGCCAGCAGCCGCCGCGGUAA
rnacentral:rRNA from 1 species